UUCCCCGGGAUAUUUGUGUAGCUCCACUUUCACUUCAUUCCUGUCUUUGUUCAACUGUCAAACAUUCCCAGGCAGGCCUUCCCUGACCACCCUACAAAAAAUAUAGCCCUUCCCACACAUCUCACUUUUUCAAGCUCGAAUUGGUUGCCGCCUGCGACACUAAUUUGUUCCCAGAUGACCCGCUGACUGUAUUUGUCAGGGGGUGUAGUAGAGGGAUCGGUGACACAGGUACCUCAGGCCCAAGUGCAGAAAGGGAAUGUCAGGUGGCCCCAAGGUUAGGAGGUCCCCGCCCGAGCCCCCACCCAGACCGCAGCCCCGAGGACAGCGAGCCUGGAGGCGGCGGCGGGAGGUGGCACUCAGGAAGAGGCGGCAGGGACCGUGCGGGUCACGGGGACACGGAGCCCCGCCCGGUGCUCGGCGCUAGUGCGGCGGCGGGAAGGACCCUCGCGGGGCGCGGGGGGCGGGGGCGCCGGGGAGACGCGUCUGGAGCAGUGCGUGCUGUGCAGCACCCCGGAGGCUGCCGGCUAGCUGCGGCGGGGCAGGGUGCCAGCACCCCCCGUGGGGGUGGGGGUGGGGGGUGGGGGCGAGGAGGGAGAAGGGCUGGGGGACGCCCUCUCGCAGCAGGUGCGGCUGAGCGAGGACCCGAAGAGGUGAGGCCUAGGGCAGGGGAUCCCCGAGGGAGGCGCCUUCAGGCCGCCCGACGGCGGGGCACAAGCCCCGAGCAGGCCCGUGAGCCAAGGGCUCAUUCGCGGGUGUUCCCGGGCCCCUCCAGUGCCACCCCCGUGCUGUGUGUGUCCUUGUGGGGUCUGUGGGGUGACGAGAUUGGGGCUGGCUCGUGUGUGUCCUGUUUUUGAUCCUGUGCGUAGAAUAGGGUUGGGGAGAUAGGAUGGGCGAAGGCAGGUUUUCACUCCCGUUUCCCAGGUGACGAAAGUGAGGCUCAGGAGGCGGGGAGGGGAGCUCGAACCCGGAUUUGUCCUAUUCCGGGGCUCCCUCGCAGAACCGCUUAACGUUUCUGAACCUGUGGCCUCAGUGUCCGCCGCCCCGCUGAUCCCCACCAACCUCGCCUCCCCCCCCCCCCCCCAGGCCUCCCCCGCACCC
rnacentral:lncRNA from 1 species